UAAAGAAUAUGUCAAAAUCAAAAUGUCAAAAUUGAAUUGCCAAAAUGAAAAAUGCUUCGUCCAUCUCAAAACAGCAUAGAACCCCUGUUUCCAGUUCAUCAGAGAGUUCCGAAAAUGAGACACCUUUAUUUUACUGUUUGCAAGAAAAAUCAAAGGACAGAUGUGGCCAGCAAUGAAAUUGGGAAAAUCGAUCUAUAUAAAAAAUGGAUAUCGCGUUUAUUUUUUUCGUAGCAAAGCAGUACUUGAUAUGGAACCCAAAAACACCAUAAGUCAUUUUCAAAUUCUGAUAGAUGAAGAAGUGAGUUUUCGACAUGAUGGAUUCAAAAAAGGAACAGUAGAGAAUAUAAGUAUAGGAAAGAAGACAGAAAUUCCUUAUUUCAACAUAGCAGUCAAAGGUACAACUUAUCGCAUAUCCUUUUUUAAUGUUUUCUUGACCAAGAAACAGGCUAAAGAAGUUCUCAUGAAAUAUUAAAUGAAACAACUUUUUGUGAGAAUAAAAUUUUGAAAAAGCUGGAACUCAAAAUGUUUAUCACAUUUAUAUCAAAUAUAAAUAGUUUUGUGAAAAAUUA